AAGGAUCAUUAUCGAGUUUUGACUGGGUUGUAGCUGGCCUUCCGAGGCACGUGCACGCCCUGCUCAUCCACUCUACACCUGUGCACUUACUGUGGGUUUACCGGUCGCGAAACGGGCUCGUUUAUUCGGGCUUGUGGAGCGCACUUGUUGCCUGCGUUUAUCACAAACUCCAUUAAAGUAUUAGAAUGUGUAUUGCGAUGUAACGCAUCUAUAUACAACUUUCAGCAACGGAUCUCUUGGCUCUCGCAUCGAUGAAGAACGCAGCGAAAUGCGAUAAGUAAUGUGAAUUGCAGAAUUCAGUGAAUCAUCGAAUCUUUGAACGCACCUUGCGCUCCUUGGUAUUCCGAGGAGCAUGCCUGUUUGAGUGUCAUGAAAUCUUCAACUUACAAGCUCUUUGCGGGGUUUGUAGGCUUGGACUUGGAGGCUUGUCGGCCUUUAACGGKCGGCUCCUCUUAAAUGCAUUAGCUUGAUUUCCUUGCGGAUCGGCUGUCGGUGUGAUAAUGUCUACUCCGCGACCGUGAAGCGUUUGGCAAGCUUCUAACCGUCUCGUUACAGAGACAGCUUUAUGACCUCUGACCUCAAAUCAGGUAGGACUACCCGCUGAACUUAA
rnacentral:rRNA from 1 species